rnacentral:lncRNA from 1 species
AUGGCUGUAUAUAUCUGCCUAUUAAUAUUUGGAAGUUUUUUAGAAAGUAUAUUUUUGUAUGCUCUGUUUUGUGACUUAAAGUGUUACCUUUGUAGUCAAAUUUCAGAAGAGAAUGUGCAUAAUGUCACUGCAGCUGAUUUGUUUGGUUAUUAGCUCUUAAUAGUUGUGGAAAAAAAUAAACAAUCUAUUCUAACAUAAAACCACUAACUGGAGUUCAGAUAACGGACGGUUUAUGACUAUGGUGUAAAUAAAUACUUUCAACAAUAUUUUUGCUGCAGAAAUCAUUUACAAAGCUCUCGCUGGGUGGAACGGCUAUUCACCUCUGAGAACCAGGAACGGAAGGCCACUCAAGCCAGGGGCCCAGGACAGGCCCUCUGUGUUUUCUUGCUGGCCUGUGGCUACCAGGGCUCACUCUCACCUCCAUUCAUAAGCCAUAGCUAGUCUACAGGGAUUUCCCCGUUGAAUUAGUGUAAAAGUGAGGUUUUCUGACUUACCAGCCGUACAGCUCCUCUCUGCUCCCGAGUGGGCUCCGGAAAGUAAAUACUUACAAACAAGUGGCUAGUCAGAGACGACAACCUCAGAGCUGCGUCUAGAAUUCUGACUAUAGCUUGGAGCUCAGUCAAGUUGUAGCUUUGUGGAAAGUGUGGCAGUGUGGUCACACUGGAAAUGACUUUUGGGUUCCAGGAUUAAUCGUACGACCACAGAAAACUUUUUCAAAAAGAGCUAUCAUCCCUUCAGAUCAAAAUUGCUCAGAUACUGCUGUUGACAGCAUUAAUGGGCAGCUGCAGGAAUUACCCCAGGACUCAUUUCUCUCCAGGCCUGGCUUUUCAUGAUUGCCCAUAUUUGGAGGGAUCAUUUGUCACAAGUUCGGUGGAUCUAGAAGUGAUUCUCAAAAGAGCAUGUAAGACGGGUGAACAACAGGCCGUAAAACUCCAAGGUAACCUGAAGUUAAAAGCAGCAACCUCAGCGCAAUGGACCAAUGAGCAUCUGGAGCAUCUGGAUUGUGUGGAACCAUAA